GCUCGCUUGGCCAAGGGGUAAGGCGUCUGUCUCGUAUUGUAAUUACAAUAAUACGGUUAACAGAAGAUCGUCGGUUCGAAUCCGACAGUGAGCA
rfam:Penicillium oxalicum 114-2 unplaced genomic scaffold scaffold_5, whole genome shotgun sequence.